rnacentral:tRNA from 1 species
UAGUUCAGAAGUGUAGAGCGCUGGCCUAAUCGGUUUGAGGUCACUGGUUCAAAUCCAGUAUGCGCCGCCA